GCUUACGGCCACCUGCCUGAGUACGCCUGAUCUCGUCCGAUCUCGGAAGCUAAGCAGGGUCGGGCCUGGUUAGUACUUGGAUGGGAGACCGCCUGGGAAUACCAGGUGCUGUAAGCU
rnacentral:rRNA from 1 species